GCAGACACAUUCCAGCCAAUCAGCAGCAGACCCUCCCUCCCAGACCCUUCCACCUCCUGGGCCGUUCACUAAGAAUGCAGCUUCACAAUGAAUGUAAAAUGGAUGCUGUCCAGGAGGUGGGAGGGUCUGGGAGGGAGGGUUUGCUGCUGAUUGGCUGGAAUGUGUCUG